UACAGGGGGGGCAAGCGUUGUUCGGAAUUACUGGGCGUAAAGGGCUCGUAGGCGGCCAACUAAGUCAGACGUGAAAUCCCUCGGCUUAACCGGGGAACUGCGUCUGAUACUGGAUGGCUUGAGGUUGGGAGAGGGAUGCGGAACUCCAGGUGUAGCGGUGAAAUGCGUAGAUAUCUGGAGGAACACCGGUGGCGAAGGCGGCAUCCUGGACCAAUUCUGACGCUGAGGAGCGAAAGCCAGGGGAGCAAACGGG
rnacentral:rRNA from 1 species